ACAAGCCUCCAGUCACUAGGUGGCAGCAGUGCUCAAACAAACCACUGUACCAGUGGAAGAAGUGCACCGGUGUAAACAGAGCUCAUGGAGGAGAGAUGGAGUAGUUUGUCAUCAGAGUAAAAGGAAAAACGGAGGAUUUGCCAGUAACAAGAAACAGGGAUAAACAUAAAAUCAGAAAAUACGACGAAGCCUACCUUGUCCUCGGAUUCACCGUUAAAUACGGUCGGAAAUGAGGAAAGACCCGUUUGGGUUUUGUGCAGCGGACAGCAUGAAACCAAACAAAUUAUGGCAGCACCUGGAGACUUUACACCCCAGUUAUACCAACGGUUGGACUAGGCCUGAAGUAGAGGGGACAAUCGAGAAAGAAACCUGAGAAGAAUCCAUUACCCUCUACCCACUCCUGAGGAAAACAUUACUUUUAAACCGAGGAGGACGACCCAGGCUCUGAUCGGUGCAUCUCCAGUGAUUUGAUAUACUGAUGCAAUAUUUACUACAGCUACUUUUAGCAGCACGUCUAACUAAUUUAAAGUAAGUUUAAAUAAUUAUGAGCAUGAUCCCAGAAGCAGCAGAAAAUAUGCUUUAUGAAUAACCUGCAAUUAGCACUCCGCUUACCUAAUAAAUACCAACCCAAGCCUGUGAUGAAUGUCAUCAGACUGCAGCCUUACUGAUGUAAACGAAAGAAACUAAAACUACGUUAACACUUGGACCUGGCAGACUUCCAGAACCAAAAGCCCCAGCCCAGCAUGGGUCUGAGGAGGGCUUGGAGGCCAGUGGAAACGUCUCCCUCAGGAUCCACUCGCAGAGCCUUCAUUACCAUGUUACCAUGACGACACAGACCAAGGCCCCAAGCUAAAACAGCAGACUUUCUCUGGCAUGCUCCCACUCUGCUGAUCCAUCAGUUUCAUACUGCCCCUGACUCCUCUAUCACACGGGACUAAAUCCAAAAUAAUGAGACCACCUCACUAAAUCUCAGCUCAGAUAUGAUCUCAUAUAUGAGAACUGAUGGUAAGGUAAGAUGAACGGAGCUAAAUCUAACCCUGUGGGGGGCGCAGUUUGACCUUUCAGCAGGACAACAACCCUACAAAGUGGACUCUGGGAGUCUUGUCAGUUUUGGUAACCAUGUAUUGUUUUCUGUCCAUGUCACGAUUAUGCUCUAGUUCGUGUUAAGUUUUUACAUAAAUGAACAAUAAAACUGACCUUACUCCUACAGCUGCCCUCCACAAACUACCUCA